GGUAUCCUGUCUGAAUAUGGGGGGACCAUCCUCCAAGGCUAAAUACUCCUGACUGACCGAUAGUGAACCAGUACCGUGAGGGAAAGGCGAAAAGAACCCCGGCGAGGGGAGUGAAAAAGAACCUGAAACCGUGUACGUACAAGCAGUGGGAGCACAGAGCAAUCUGUGUGACUGCGUACCUUUUGUAUAAUGGGUCAGCGACUUAUAUUCUGUAGCAAGGUUAACCGAAUAGGGGAGCCGAAGGGAAACCGAGUCUUAACUGGGCGUUAAGUUGCAGGGUAUAGACCCGAAACCCGGUGAUCUAGCCAUGGGCAGGUUGAAGGUUGGGUAACACUAACUGGAGGACCGAACCGACUAAUGUUGAAAAAUUAGCGGAUGACUUGUGGCUGGGGGUGAAAGGCCAAUCAAACCGGGAGAUAGCUGGUUCUCCCCGAAAGCUAUUUAGGUAGCGCCUCGUGAAUUCAUCUCCGGGGGUAGAGCACUGUUUCGGCAAGGGGGUCAUCCCGACUUACCAACCCGAUGCAAACUGCGAAUACCGGAGAAUGUUAUCACGGGAGACACACGGCGGGUGCUAACGUCCGUCGUGAAGAGGGAAACAACCCAGACCGCCAGCUAAGGUCCCAAAGUCAUGGUUAAGUGGGAAACGAUGUGGGAAGGCCCAGACAGCCAGGAUGUUGGCUUAGAAGCAGCCAUCAUUUAAAGAAAGCGUAAUAGCUCACUGGUCGAGUCGGCCUGCGCGGAAGAUGUAACGGGGCUAAACCAUGCACCGAAGCUGCGGCAGCGACGCUUAUGCGUUGUUGGGUA
rnacentral:rRNA from 1 species